rnacentral:rRNA from 1 species
AGCUUGAACAGUAUUAGUUAUGUUCUUAAAAUUUAAAGAAUUUGGCGGUAUUUUAGUCUAUUCAGAGGAACCUGUUCUGUGAUUGAUAGUCCACGAUUAAUUUUACUUGUUUUAAAGGUUUGUAUAUCGUCGUAGUUUGAAUGUUUUAAAAGAAUUAAAAUGUUCAGGAUUUAUUAUAUUAAAAUAAAUCAGAUCAAGGUACAGCGGAUAAAUAAGGAGAAAUGGGUUACAAUAAAUUUAUUUAUAUGGUUAUGAUUAUUAAUAUGGUUAUAUAAAGUGGAUUUGAAAGUAAUAUUAUUUAGUUAAAUUAUAUGAUUUGAGCUCUAAAAUAUGUACAUAUCGCCCGUCGCUCCCAUUUUAAGGUGGGAUAAGUCGUAACAAAGUAGGCGUACUGGAAAGUGUGCCUAGUAAGA